GAUGAACGCUGGCGGCGUGCUUAACACAUGCAAGUCGAACGAAGAUGACUAGAAUGAGAGUUUCGGCAGGAUUUCUUCUCAUCUUAGUGGCGGACGGGUGAGUAACGUGUGGGCAACCUGCCCUAUACUGGGGAAUAAUCACUGGAAACGGUGACUAAUACCGCAUGUCAUUGCGAGAGGGCAUCCUCUUGCAAGAAAGGAGUAAUUCGGUAUAGGAUGGGGCCCGCAUCUGAUUAGCUAGUUGGUGAGAUAGCAGCCCACCAAGGCGACGAUCAGUAGCCGACCUGAGAGGGUGAUCGGGCCACAUUGGGACUGGAGACACGGGCCCAAACUCCUACGGGAGGCAGCAGGUGGGGAAUAUUGCACAAGUGGGGAAACCCUGAUGCAGCAACGCCGCGUGAAGGAUGGAAGGUUUUCGGAUCGUAAACUUC
rnacentral:rRNA from 1 species